GCAGUCGUGGCCGAGCGGUUAAGGCGACAGACUAGAAAUCUGUUUCCCUCUGGGAGCACAGGUUCGAAUCCUGUCGACUGCG
rnacentral:tRNA from 1 species